ensembl:snoRNA Gm25878 small nucleolar SNORD12/SNORD106
GCUGGUGUAAAUGAUGACAUCGCUUUUUUCCCCGUCAUAUCGACGAUGCUGAUCUCUUAAAAUACUUUGCCAGUUAGUCCUGAUACACCAGC